rnacentral:rRNA from 1 species
UACGGAGGAUGCAAGCGUUAUCCGGAAUUAUUGGGCGUAAAGCGUCCGUAGGUGGUUUAUCAAGUCUGCUGUCAAAGCGUGCGGCUUAACCGCAUAAGGGCAGUGGAAACUGAUGAACUAGAGUGCGAUAGGGGUAACAGGAAUUCCCAGUGUAGCGGUGAAAUGCGUAGAUAUUGGGAAGAACACCAGCGGCGAAAGCGUGUUACUGGGUCUGCACUGACACUGAGGGACGAAAGCUAGGGGAGCGAAAGGG